AGCGAACGCUGGCGGCAGGCCUAACACAUGCAAGUCGAACGAACUCUUCGGGGUUAGUGGCGGACGGGUGAGUAACACGUGGGAACGUGCCUUUUGGUUCGGAAUAACUCAGGGAAACUUGUGCUAAUAACGAAUGUGCCCUUCGGGGGAAAGAUUUAUCGCCAUUAGAGCGGCCCGCGUCUGAUUAGCGAGUUGGGGAGGUAACGGCUCACCAAGGCGACGAUCAGUAGCUGGUCUGGGAGGAUGACCAGCCGCACUGGGAAUGCGGCCCGGCCCAGACUCCGACGGGGGGGAGGAGAAGGGAAUCCUGCGGAAUGGGCCAAAGCCCGACGCAGCCAUGCCGGGGGAAUGAUGAAGGUCGUAGGAUUGUAAAAUUCUUUCUCCCGGGACGAUAAUGACGGUACCCGGAAAAGAAGCCCCGGCUAACUUCGUG
rnacentral:rRNA from 1 species